CCCGAGCUCACCGUGGGAGCCUCGCCGCGCUUCAGCGGGGAGGCCGGUGAGAGGGCCUGCCCACGCCUGCCUUCCCCACUGUGCUGUGAGCUCACGCACAUUCCGCAGGGGACCCCGCGGCUGGAGCAGCCAGGACUGGCUGCAGCUGCUGCGGAGGAAGGGAGGGCCAGGCCGGCCGGAAGACAGGCCCUGCACUCGUCCAGGAGCGGGGGGACCAGCUGGGCGCCCAGGGCUGAGGGCGAGGGCAGCGCGGACAGUUUUGCCUCUCUUCAGAAGGAAAACGACAGCAAGACUCGCAGGCUGGGGGCACGCGGGGAGCGGGGUUGGCACCGUGUCGGACGGACAGCGCGCGGCGCGUUAGCCCGAGGCCUGAGGCCUGAGCUUGGCGGCGGCCUGCAGCCAGAGGACGCGGGAAAGGGAGCGGGCACCGGGAGCGCCGCUUCUGCGUCUGCCCGCGAAACCUUAGGGGGACCGAGGCCUCCCUGGCGCCCAGCACAGCCCAUCCAGGCCCGGGCGGCUCCUGGCGGGGCGCGGCCAGCAGGGGGCGCGCCGCACCCGGGAACGUGCGUGGCGGGCGCCCGGCAGGGGCCGCCCAGGAGGAGGCCGACUGCGGAUGCUGCCGCGCGUGGCUAGGGCCCCUGGAUCUGCAGCUCCGAAACACGCCUUGCGAAUGUCACCUGUCCUUGGCCUCUGACUGGUGUUCCCCUGUGGCCUAUGGAUGCUGCAUUUAUGUUCCUGGUUGCUCUGUGAACCCCAUACUGAGACGAGUCCCCUUCUAAACAUCGCCAGGGUCCAAGAGCUGUCUGAUCCUCCCCAGCCCUGACUGUCUCAGCUCCAGACAACCGGGGAGCCCAGAGUGUCUCUUCAACACCAAGGAAGAGCCAAGAGGCACUGUCUUGUUGGAGACAACAGCUAAAAGCCUGCAGAGCAAGGAUCCGGGGGCAGGGGCAGGGAGCAGCUGCGGCAGUUCCAGCGCAGAGUCCUGUGACCCGCUGUGCAGUGCUGGACCUGACCGAUCGCUCACAGCCCUCCUUCCUUCGGGCACGCCUUUGCACCGAGCUGCCUUCCCAGCCCACCCCUGUCAGCUGCGUAUUCUGAGACGUUGUCUCCCUAAGUCACUGAGUUGCCCAGGCUGGGCGCAAACUUAUGAUCCUCCUGCCUCAGCCUCCCAGAGCACGGUGAAAAUAGGCCUGGCUGGAAAGUAUCCUCUACAUGCAUCAUCUUCACUGUCCUCUCAGCAGCCCUAGAUCAGGACUGCUUCGUCAUCUUGUAUUCCAGAUGGGGAGACGAGGCACAGAGAUGAGUUCCCGAGGCAGGGAGCCAGCCGACUCGAGCCCCACACUGGGGUCACAGAGCAUGCUGGUCGGCGCCAAGCUCCUGUCGGGCCGAGGGGCAGUGUGGAGAGCAGCUCUAGGGUCAGCUCCCCUGGCUCACAGGGCCGGGGCGCCCCGGGGGAUCCUGGCUACUCCUCCCCAGAGGAGAAGGCUGGGCAGGGGGCCUCUGCUCUCUACAGCGAGAUCCGGAGGAGUCCGGACAGAGGGGAGCGUUCUCUCAGUCUGGUGUUGGGCCCCAACUUCAAAGCCCAGGGGUCAUGGAAAGCGCAGGGAAGGCCGUGCUGCUGAGAAGGCCCUGCGGGCUCUGGGGUCAGGGAGAAGGCAGCCAGCCCGUCUGCAGCUCCCUUGCUCUCAGGUGUAAAGUGCACGGAACUCCCUGGCUCUGCACUGGUGGGCUGGAGCGCUCACACACGGCAAAUCCUCAGCCCAGUGCCUGGCACACGGCCUGUUCUCAGGCCCCAUGGGAAUCUCGCUUCUAGGGCUCUGCUAAUAUCAGUCUGGGGAUUCUGCCUCUUAGGCCAAAGUCUCCUCUGAAUUCUUUACUCCCUUGUUUCGGAUGACAAGAUCCAGGACUUCUUUUAGUACCUGUGGUUCUCGAAGUCCCAGGGCCCUUUUCCACAUCUCACUUUGGGCUUGGUGCCGUGGCCAACAUGGCCAGGGCUCUGGUGCUCACCUCUUCCUCUCCAGGGCUGCAGAAAUAGGGCCCCUGCGCCCUUUGGCCUGCAGGGCUCCUGGGCCAGGCUGCCCCUGCUAGAGGUCAGGCCCGCUGGCUUCCCUAGGCUCUGCACCGAUCGCCCAAGUCCACUGCCUCUGGCGGGCCUGCCGGGCGCAGCCCCCAGAACCCAGCCCCUGCUGCCUCCCUGAGAAUCCUGCCAGAGCUCUCUACUGCGACACCAGGACCUGAUGACAGCAGCAAGUUGGGUUCCUUUUUGUAGCAAAUGACAAGAGAUCCAGCUGAAACAAACAUAAACCACUCUGUGAUAGAAAAGUCAGGGCGCAGCAGGAUGUGAAAUCGCCAACCAAAUUAUCAAGUCUGUGCCCGUCUUUGCCCUCUGGUGGCUUCAUUUGGCCAGAGCUCCCCAGUCAGGCGGCAGAGGCAGCUCACCUGUGGCUGCCUGCGGUUCCUCUCGGGCAUUGCUCCUCCCACAUGCUUGCCCUUCGAAGCAAGGUGGUGACUUCGAAGAUUUCUCUACCAGUGGUAGAAUACCUCUGCCUUCUCUCUGAGGUUGGGUGUAGCUAGUGAUGCAUUUCAUUGAAGGAACAUGGUUGUGAACCACAGGACAUCAGUUCUGAGCCUUGGUCUUAAGAUCUCCAUUUGCCCUUCUCCACUGCUGGUGGGAAUGCAGACUGGUGCAACCACCGUGGAAAUCAGUAUGGAGAUACCUCAAAGAACUAGGACUGGAGGUCCCGUUUGACCCAGCUACUCCCCUGCUGGGGAUCUUCCCCAAAGAAUUAAAAGAAUCAUACCACAGUGAUAUAUGUGCACCCAUGUUCACAGUGGCACAGUUUGUGAUAGCUAAAGCUUGGAAGCAACCCAAAUGCCCAUCAACUGGAGACUGGAUCAAGAAAAUGUGUUUUUUUUUUAAUAAAAUGGAGUACUACUCAGACAUAAAGAACAAGAAACUAGAGACAUUUAUGGCCAAAUGGAUGCACACUGAGGCCAUACUCUUAAGUGAAAUAAAUAGGACACACAUGUGUAAAUACCAAAUAGUUUCUCUAGUGUGAGAAACUGACAGUGUAAAUAAGGAUUAAAACAUAUAAUAGAUAAUGUGAAAUAGGAAGAAAAGGUCCAAAGGGGUAGGGGUGGUGGGAGGGGAAGGGGAAAGGGAAGAAGGGAAAGGAAAAAUUAUGAGAAAAGAAAAAAAAUGGAAACAAAGUCUAUGUAAAUAGGGAAGGGUGGAGGGGGUGAAGGGCGAACAGGUAAUGGGGAAGAAAUAAGAACCAAGAUACGUCGUGUACAGGUGCAAGCACCCAAUGAGAAAUGUAAAUGAAUUGUAUACCUAAAGUGUACCAAUAAAAGAAUCUAAGAAAACAAAAGAUCUCCAUUUGCUUUUCCCACGCUUCUGGAAUCACCGUGAGCG
ensembl:lncRNA